CCGCGCAGCCGGGGAGAUAGCGGUGCCCUGAACCUGCAAUCCGCUCCAGCAGGGGUGAUACCUUGCCUCGGGCAGAACAUUGCGGAGCUGCCUUAUGUAAGUGGCGUUGACGUUUGGGUCUUACGCAACGGGAAUCUGUGAACCGUGUCAGGACA
rnacentral:SRP_RNA from 1 species